GAUUUCUCUACAAGAAGAAAGACAAAUCAUAGAAAUUGGCAGGCUGCAUGGUGAUCCAGUUGAGAAAAGAAUGUGACUGCACCAUACUUCUGCUAAGAGUCUUGCUAAUUCACUCAACAAGGGAUAUCCCAAAUGUGUGGAAAAAGAGCCAGGCAUCCCAUUCUAGAUUUGAUGUGGAUGACAGGUUUGACAGGAAGAAUAUGAUUUACAGAUUGAAGAAUAGGAUAUCAAAUUUGUUGAGAGAAGUCUAUUGGCAUUUCACUUCACUUGUCAGGCUGCAUAUAAAGGCAAAGAUUGGAGAUCUACAAGUGAAAAGAAAUAUUUCAACAGACAAUGCCUGGUACUUUGAAUCUGAUCACUUUACAAACAAGCAGAUGCUUUCUCUAUUGUACGGAUGACCUCAUCAGGGAAAGUGGAUUAAGCUCUGGAUCACUCUACUCAGAGUCAUCCUCCAGCACUUCUGAAAUCACAGGCCUAUUCUUCUGCUCUACUCUUCCCUUAAAAAAACAAGGACAAUUCUAAAUAACGUUCAUCUCAUUAAUUAAAAAAAACAAAUAGGUAAGUAUUUAUACCCAUAGUUAAAUGUAAAUAAUGUUUCAUUAAGUAUGAAUCAUUAAGUUGCUUUCACAAUGAUUUUAGAGCAAACUGUAUUUGGGGCAGACAUUAUGCUAGAAAUUCUUUCAUGGCUUAUUUAAUUCUCACAAUAUUCUAGAACUGCUACCCCCUUUUUAAACAUAAGAUAAGCACUGGUUAGAAAGAUAACAUAACUUGCUAAAGAUCAACAGUAAAAAAAUCUAUUUACAGCUAAUCAAAAUUGGCUUUAACUGAAACAAGGUAGGUUUUUGUAUUACAAAGAAGCUAAAGACGUCAUAUGACAUACAGUUGUGUUUCAUUAUCAGUCAUUAACUCCACCGUCUUCCAGAUUAUCUGGCAAAAUAUGCCAUUUAAAAGAUAGGAGCCCACUUUUCCAGAAUGACCUGUCUUUUCUAUUUUGUUCUUGUUGAUCACCUAACAAAAUUAAAGAAGAAUGUACCUUGUCUCACAACAUAUUUUAAAACAAUAUCUUUCACUGUUGUUUUUAAUUUUUUUUUCUUUUCUUUUUUUGCAGAACUCUCUUCCUUAAACAUCUAUUAAAAAAAAUUAGCAUUUAACAGAUGAAGGACUUCACUGGUGGUCCAGUGGUUAAGAUUCUGUGCUUCCACUGCAGGGAGCACAGGUAUGAUCCCUGAUUGGGGAACUGAAAUCCCACAUGCCAUAAGACAUGGCCAAAAAUAAAUAAGUAAAAUAAUAAAAUAAAUGAAAACA
rnacentral:lncRNA from 1 species